GGGUUAGUCGGGACCUAAGCCGAGGCCGAUAGGCGUAGGCGAUGGACAACAGGUAGAGAUUCCUGUACCAGUGCUAAUUGUUUAACCGAUGGGGUGACACAGAAGGAUAGGGAAUCGCACGAAUGGAAAUGUGCGUCCAAGCAGUGAGUGUGAGAAGUAGGCAAAUCCGCUUCUCGCGAAGCAUGAGCUGUGAUGGGGAAGGAAAUUAAGUACGGAAGUUCCUGAUUUCACGCUGUCAAGAAAAGCCUCUAGGAAGAGUAGUACUGCCCGUACCGCAAACCGACACAGGUAGAUGAGGAGAGAAUCCUAAGGUGAGCGAGAGAACUCUCGUUAAGGAACUCGGCAAAAUGACCCCGUAACUUCGGGAGAAGGGGUGCUCUAUUAGGGUGCAAGCCCGAGAGAGCCGCAGUGAAUAGGCCCAGGCGACUGUUUAGCAAAAACACAGGUCUCUGCAAAACCGUAAGGUGACGUAUAGGGGCUGACGCCUGCCCGGUGCUGGAAGGUUAAGAGGAGUGCUUAGCUUCGGCGAAGGUACGAAUUGAAGCCCCAGUAAACGGCGGCCGUAACUAUAACGGUCCUAAGGUAGCGAAAUUCCUUGUCGGGUAAGUUCCGACCCGCACGAAAGGCGUAAUGAUUUGGGCACUGUCUCAACGAGAGACUCGGUGAAAUUAUAGUACCUGUGAAGAUGCAGGUUACCCGCGACAGGACGGAAAGACCCCGUGGAGCUUUACUGCAACCUGAUAUGGAAUGUUUGUACCGCUUGUACAGGAUAGGUAGGAGCCGAAGAGACGUGUGCGCUAGCAUACGAGGAGGCAAUGGUGGGAUACUACCCUGGCUGUAUGACCAUUCUAACCCGCCACGCUUAGCGCGUGGGGAGACAGUGUCAGGUGGGCAGUUUGACUGGGGCGGUCGCCUCCUAAAGAGUAACGGAGGCGCCCAAAGGUUCCCUCAGAAUGGAUGGAAAUCAUUCGCAGAGUGUAAAGGCACAAGGGAGCUUGACUGCGAGACUGACAAGUCGAGCAGGGACGAAAGUCGGGCUUAGUGAUCCGGUGGUUCCGCAUGGAAGGGCCAUCGCUCAACGGAUAAAAGCUACCCCGGGGAUAACAGGCUUAUCUCCCCCAAGAGUCCACAUCGACGGGGAGGUUUGGCACCUCGAUGUCGGCUCGUCGCAUCCUGGGGCUGUAGUCGGUCCCAAGGGUUGGGCUGUUCGCCCAUUAAAGCGGCACGCGAGCUGGGUUCAGAACGUCGUGAGACAGUUCGGUCCCUAUCCGUCGCGGGCGCAGGAAAUUUGAGAGGAGCUGUCCUUAGUACGAGAGGACCGGGAUGGACACACCGCUGGUGUACCAGUUGUUCCGCCAGGAGCAUCGCUGGGUAGCUAUGUGUGGCAGGGAUAAACGCUGAAAGCAUCUAAGCGUGAAGCCCCCCUCAAGAUGAGAUUUCCCAUUUCUUCGGAAAGUAAGAUCCCUGAAAGAUGAUCAGGUAGAUAGGUUUGGAGUGGAAGUGUAGCGAUACAUGGAGCGGACAAAUACUAAUCGAUCGAGGACUUAACC
rnacentral:rRNA from 1 species